CCUAUUUCCUUCCCUUGUAGGCAUCCCAGGCCCUGUGCACCUUUCUGCCUCUUGGUUCCUACAGGAAAGCGGUGGCCCAGUUUUUCCCCCAGCUCUUGAUGACCCUUAUGUUCCAAGUCUUCUACAGCAAUGAGUUGAAACUGACACCAAGGAACAAUGCUUUAUAUGCUCAGGAUGCCCUGAGAGUUCUGCUGAAUUGUUCUGGACUGCAACAGGUGGAUAUUACUCUUAACGAAGGCGAAUUUCUGGGACCAGUUAUCUGAAGAGCUGUGUUACUAUUACGGAGUCUACUUUAUUGCUAAAACUCUCAGUGAAUAUAACUUUCCACAGUUUCCGGAGACUCUGCAUUAUCUCUAUAAGCUCUCAGUAGAAGGUCCUAGAAGGUCAGAAGACAGUGUCAUCGUAGUAAUAUUUCUCACCGAAGUGAGUUUUGUAGACUGUGAACAGCUGUGUUCUCAUUUCCUUUUCUUACCCCAAUUUAAAUCAAAAUUCCAGUUUCUCAUAUUUUUCCCUCUGAAUGUUGGUCCUUACCAAGACUUAAGAUCAUGAAUGAUUUCUGAAGUUGGAUGGGGAGAGGUGUGGGGUUAGAUCUGGGUUAUGGAAGAGUUGUCCCUUCAGCUUUCACCAGCAGUUGGUUUUUCUCUGUUUCUAGGGGUGUGAAUUUUUACAAACACUAAUUAUAUUUUAGUACCAGUUUAUAUAUUUCUGCAUGAUUGUUAAAGUAUAUUGAGGGAUAAUUGGGUUUAAUAAAGAUGGUAGUUAACAUCUGGGAUCUAGGCAGUACUUCUGACCAUGUAGGGGGAGAAAGGAACUGGCUGAGUAACUGGGUAAAAUGAAGAUGUAGAACCAUAUUACUUUGUAUAUGAAUAUUGUGCCAUGUAUUGUAAUACUAUAGUGGAAUCAAGCAAAUUGACAAACUCUUGUUUACAAAAAAUAAAGGCUUUAUAACCUGAAA